rnacentral:rRNA from 1 species
AGGAUGAACGCUGGCGGCGUGCUUAACACAUGCAAGUCGAACGGUGAACACGGAGCUUGCUCUGUGGGAUCAGUGGCGAACGGGUGAGUAACACGUGAGCAACCUGCCCCUGACUCUGGGAUAAGCGCUGGAAACGGCGUCUAAUACUGGAUAUGUGACGUGACCGCAUGGUCUGCGUUUGGAAAGAUUUUUCGGUUGGGGAUGGGCUCGCGGCCUAUCAGCUUGUUGGUGAGGUAAUGGCUCACCAAGGCGUCGACGGGUAGCCGGCCUGAGAGGGUGACCGGCCACACUGGGACUGAGACACGGCCCAGACUCCUACGGGAGGCAGCAGUGGGGAAUAUUGCACAAUGGGCGAAAGCCUGAUGCAGCAACGCCGCGUGAGGGAUGACGGCCUUCGGGUUGUAAACCUCUUUUAGCAGGGAAGAAGCGAAA